AUCGCUUCUCGGCCUUUUGGCUAAGAUCAAAGUGUAGUCAAUGCAGCUGGCUUGCCCGGCCUUUGACACACUUAUCUUUGUAGAGGCGCCCGGAUACCUGCUCCGGUUAUAGCAGUGUCUUCCCCUAUCCCAGCCCUAUCUUUCCAGGCCCUCGGCUCCCUGCUGCACUGCCUCCAGGACAGCCCACGUGCUG